UCUUCCCCACACCGCCGACCCGCCCGGCGCCGCCCCGACGCACCCGCCGCACCCUCAGCAGGCUCCUACCGGCACGCCGACGCUGCAGCACUGCAGGCCGUCUCCCUGCCGCAGGCGGCGACCGUCGCGCUGGCGUCGUGGGGCCCUCCCAUGCAGGCCGCCGCAUACGGGUACGGGCAGCGCCUCCGCCGCCCCAUACGGGAAGGACAGGAAAUACCGAGAAGGUUUUCAUGUAUUUUAUUGGAGAUCCAACAGGAAUUAUGCUCAUCUACACACCAUCCAACCCAAUGUGGGUCCUUCGGUAUCUGACUAUACAGAGUCUCGAAUAUUUCUCUUUGAUUACUAUCUGACUAUACAGAGUCUUCUAUUGUUGCCCUGUACUUCUAAAUUUCUAUUUUUAAGAUUAAUAUCUGAAGAAGUGAGUCUCACUUUUGUUAUCCUUAAGUUAUGAUUUA